CAGUCGCCACGGUAAUACGUAGGGUGCAAGCGUUAAUCGGAAUUACUGGGCGUAAAGCGUGCGCAGGCGGUUUGUUAAGACAGAUGUGAAAUCCCCGGGCUCAACCUGGGAACUGCAUUUGUGACUGGCAAGCUAGAGUCUGGCAGAGGGGGGUGGAAUUCCGCGUGUAGCAGUGAAAUGCGUAGAUAUGCGGAGGAACACCGAUGGCGAAGGCAGCCCCCUGGGCCAACACUGACGCUCAUGCACGAAAGCGUGGGGAGCAAACAGGAUUAGAUACCCCUGUAGUCCCUGUCUCUUAUAC
rnacentral:rRNA from 1 species